UCUCAGAGGGACCAUUUGUAUAUAUGUAUUUUGAGGUGUACUAACAAUAAGGUAUUUUUGUGAUGCUUCCUACCUUAACUAGUGACACUGAUGUUUGUCAUUUCUUCUCUAACUAUGCACUUGAUGGUAAAAGUAGUGAACUCAUGUCUGGUUCAGUGAAUGAAGUUGAUGAAAAUAUUGGAAACAGUUUCAACACUUAUAAUUGAAGUUUGCAGCAAGUCAUCAAGUAAACCGGGAUUAUUUAUUCUUAUUCUUGUAGAAGUAUACAGAAAGGAGUAAAAUCUAAGAAAAUUGCUUGAUGAAAGUUUUGAGACAUAUUGGGACCAUUUGUAUAUAUGUAUUUUGAGGUGUACUAACAAUAAGGUAUUUUUGUGAUGCUUCCUACCUUAACUAGUGACACUGAUGUUUGUCAUUUCUUCUCUAACUAUGCACUUGAUGGUAAAAGUAGUGAACUCAUGUCUGGUUCAGUGAAUGAAGUUGAUGAAAAUAUUGGAAACAGUUUCAACACUUAUAAUUGAAGUUUGCAGCAAGUCAUCAAGUAAACCGGGAUUAUUUAUUCUUAUUCUUGUAGAAGUAUACAGAAAGGAGUAAAAUCUAAGAAAAUUGCUUGAUGAAAGUUUUGAGACAUAUUGAUCUCAAUCUCUCUCUCUAACGUUUUCAACAAUU
rnacentral:lncRNA from 1 species